UAAUGAUCAUGUAGCAUUAUCUUUCUUAGCUGGGAGAAUUUGAAAUGCUGAGUUUCAAAUUGCAGUUUACAGGUAAAUGCUAGUAUAUGAAUUAGUUGUUCAGCUGUGGUGUGACUUAUGACUUUUGAAACAAUUUCUCAUCCCAAUUAUUGUAGAAGAACAGGCAUAUGUAACCCUCCUAAAUAUAGCUGGUUCUGUUGAUAUCUAGGUGGCAGAAAUCCCUCUCCCUAUCGAACUUCCAAUACGUGACAUAAAAAUAUCUCUUGUGAUGUUUAUUUGCUUAGGUUGUGUCAUAUUUUGCUCACCGCAUGCUGGUGAGCCAUCAGAUAAUCACUUGAUAUUGUUUGGAAUAUCAUUCCUGUGUACAGUUUAACCUCUCAUUUUAAGUUUGACGGUAUAGAUUGAUUAUUAUCAAGCUGUUACUUAGUUCUGGAGGAUUUGUUGAAGAAGAGGAGAUUUAGACUAUCAUAGAUUCUAGAGAUUGAAUAAGAGUUUUUCAUCAUGUAUGAUUGUGUAACAGUCUAACAGAUACAUGUAGUUGUCUUGUUUUCAAAAUUAGAGACACAUGUAGCCAUCAGAGUAUUGUAAGAAGUGGAAUCGUCCACGUUUCUGGUGCAAUCAACAUUUCAGGACUGUAAGAAUGAAGGUAAGUAGGUGCGCCUAGGGGUCUGGUGAAUGAAGUUGGAAUGUAGCUAAUUUCUUACCACAUGUAUAAGCCUUGGUGAACAAAGUCACAUAUCUACCCCUGGGAGGUAGCGGCUAUGCACAAUCUGACUUAAUUGGUACUGCUAUGUGUGUGUGUGUGCUUGAAGGGUGAACAUAGAUAGAAUGAUGCAGCCAAUGGGUCCCUUCGUUUCCUGGUUAGACUGUGUGUAUUACUUCUCCACAAUUUACCCAAUGUUAAGUCCUAAGGAUAAAAUGCACACAAGGGUGUGGCCUAGUGGUUCAAUGAAGUUGGGUUGAGCACCAUGAGAUCUUAGGUUCAAUUCCCAACAAAGACAAACUUCUAGCCUUGGUGGACAGAGUUACCUGUUAGCUGGUACCUGUUGGUGGUGGGAGGUAACAGGUAUCCCGUGGAAUUAGUCGAGGUGCGCGCAAGCUGGCCCGAACCCACAGUUAU